GGCAGGAGAAGCAGGCAGGAGGAGCAGGAGGGAGAAGCAGGAGGAGAAACAUUGUUAAAAGGCUCCUGAAUAAACUGCUAAAAGGAAGAGCUCAGGUCGCGUCUUUCUUGGCGGUCGAGGUGGAUGCGACAGUUGGUGGCCCAGGCAGGGAAGGAGAAACCUCUUGAGACUCAGAACCUUUUGCAGUCAGGGUAGCCGGCUUGGAUCGUUUGGAGCCUCUGUGGGUCCCUGAGCGAUUGACACGGAAGUGUGCCACACAGAAUGGAGAGAUCGUGCCCAAGAGCCCUGUGUACCCUUCUUCUUCUGUUCCUGGUGGAGAGCCAAGCGGAGCCGAGAUGGGGGAUUCUGUCGGUGUUUCCAAGACCAAUGCCGAUAUGACAUAAUGCUCGAGUGUUUCCUCUCUUUUUUAGUACCAAUAGAAGUUUAGAUGUU